rnacentral:rRNA from 1 species
GACGAACUGUCCUAACGUUGUUCGGAAUCACUGGGCUUAAAGGGCGUGCAGGCGGUCUGUUAAGUCUAGGGUGAAAGCUCCCGGCUCAACUGGGAGAGGUCCUUGGAUACUGGCGGACUUGAGGGAGGCAGAGGAAAGUGGAAUUCCCGGUGUAGUGGUGAUAUGCGUAGAUAUCGGGAGGAACACCAGUGGCGAAGGCGGCUUUCUGGGCCUUACCUGACGCUGAGACGCGAAAGCGUGGGGAGCGAACCGG